ncrna:unclassified sequences L31-Corynebacteriaceae ribosomal protein leader
ACUCAGGCACGAUCCAUCACUGCGGAACCGACCUGAAGUUUUCAAUCCUGAGGGA